UUUUUCGAUCGGGUAUAGGGUCUGAAAUAACUCAUAAAUUGGAGUGUUGUCUAUCAGCUUCAUCUUGUGUUAUUGGUCGAGAGUGAGAUUGGAGUUAAACAACAGCACUACAUCU